CCUACGGGUGGCUGCAGUGGGGAAUAUUGGACAAUGGGGGGAACCCUGAUCCAGCCAUGCCGCGUGUGUGAAGAAGGCCCUCGGGUUGUAAAGCACUUUCAGUGAGGAAGAACGCCUGGUGGUUAAUACCCAUCAGGAAAGACAUCACUCACAGAAGAAGCACCGGCUAACUCCGUGCCAGCAGCCGCGGUAAUACGGAGGGUGCGAGCGUUAAUCGGAAUUACUGGGCGUAAAGCGCGCGUAGGUGGCUUGAUAAGCCGGUUGUGAAAGCCCCGGGCUCAACCUGGGAACGGCAUCCGGAACUGUCAAGCUAGAGUGCAGGAGAGGAAGGUAGAAUUCCCGGUGUAGAGGUGAAAUGCGUAGAGAUCGGGAGGAAUACCAGUGGCGAAGGCGGCCUUCUGGACUGACACUGACACUGAGGUGCGAAAGCGUGGGUAGCAAACAGGAUUAGAUACCCCGGUAGUC
rnacentral:rRNA from 1 species